UUAAUUGCUGUUCGUUAUACCUAGUGUAUUUUCCGUUUUAGUAUAGUUUUCAUCUUAAGAAGUUCAGUUAGAGUUUUUAAAAAAUAUAUGUUUAUGUUUAAUAUGCUCCAGCUUUUCUUUAGUUUCUCGGCCAGGAGAAAUAUAUUAACUCUUUGUGUACUAAUUCUUGUCAUAUGUGUCAUUUCUAGAUCAGUUUCAAUUGGCUGGUGCUUCUCCUCAUUAUGGACCACAAUUUUCUGCUAUUUUGCAUGCCUGGCAGUCUUUCACUGGAUACCAGACAUUAACAACAGAAGGAGGAUUGGCCCUGGGGUGUUGCCCAAAUUCAAAGUGUGAAGAGGAGUGGUCUCCCACUAUUCAUUGGUGCCAUCAAGGACACCCAGGAAGCAGAGAACAAGGAAAGAGCACCUAAUGUCACAGCUGCACAUCCUGGCACAUUCAGAAAUAUGUGUCACUAUUCUCCUGAAGUUAUUUUCUGAAGCUAUCGAGUUGACAAUUAAGAUUUUCAUCACAUAAAAUUAUUACACAGAUGAGGAAACUGAGGCUUUGAGAAGCUAAAGAGCUACCCCAUUCCUUUACUCCGGAAGCUGAGACAGGAGACUUCAAGAGUUUGAGGGCAGCCUUUAUAUAGUGAAUUCAAGGCUAUACAGCAAGACUGUUACAAAUAAACAAACUGUUAUGGUUGACACAUCGAGUCAACUUGAGAAGUUUAGAAGGACCCUUACUUUGUAAACACUCUCAUUCUGCCUAAGAGGAGGACACAGAGAUUUUGUGAGUGCUGCAUCUGCCCUGGGGGUUGCUCUUGCUGCUUUUGUUGGCUGCUGCCUGGAAGUGUUGUCCCAGUGGCAUGCCACCCUGCCUUGAAGCCAGCUGAUUAUGGGCUGAAAUCUCCACAAUCAGGGAGCUAAAUAAACCUUUCUUUCCUUCA